GUUUUGGUGGACUAGUGGCUAUCAUGUGCCUCUCUCACUGCCACGACCCGGGUUCGAUUCCCGGUCAGGGAA